GGGUAUGUAGCUCAGUGGUAGAGCGUUCGCUUUGCAUGCAAAAGGCCCCGAGUUCGAUUCCCGGCAUCUCCA
rnacentral:tRNA from 1 species